GCCGAAGUGGCGGAAUUGGCAGACGCGCGGGAUUCAAAAUCCCGUGGUGGCAACACCGUGAGGGUUCGAGUCCCUCCUUCGGCA
rnacentral:tRNA from 1 species